GCAUGCAAGUCGAGCGAGAAGGUUAGUUUGAAGCUUCGGUUGAUUUCUAACCUGGACAGCGGCGCAAGGGUGAGUAACGCGUAGUUACCUGCCCCAGGGUCUAGAAUAGCCACGGGAAACUGUGAGUAAUGCUAGAUAAUAUCUCCGGAUCAAAGGUGAGAUUCCGCCCUGGGAGGGGACUGCGUACUACUAGCUUGUUGGUGGGGUAAUGGCCUACCAAGGCUUCGAUGGUUAGCGGGCGUGAGAGCGUGGCCCGUCACACUGGGACUGAAACACUGCCCAGACACCUACGGGUGGCUGCAGUCGAGAAUCUUCGGCAAUGGACGAAAGUCUGACCGAGCAAUGCCGCGUGCGGGAUGAAGGCCUUCGGGUUGUAAACCGCUGUCAGUUGGGAGGAAGGCUCCGUGAAGAGCGGAGUUUGACCCAUCUUCAGAGGAAGUACGGGCUAAGUACGUGCCAGCAGCCGCGGUAACACGUACCGUACGAACGUUAUUCGGAAUUAUUGGGCUUAAAGGGUGCGUAGGCGGCGUCGUAAGUCGGGUGUGAAAUCCCUCAGCUCAACUGAGGAACUGCGCCCGAUACUGCGGUGCUCGAGGGAGACAGGGGUGAGCGGAACUGAUGGUGGAGCGGUGAAAUGCGUUGAUAUCAUCAGGAACACCGGUGGCGAAAGCGGCUCACUGGGUCUCUUCUGACGCUGAGGCACGAAAGCUAGGGUAGCGAACGGGAUUAGAUACCCCGGUAGUCCUAGCUGUAAACGAUGAGUACUUGGUCGAGGACCUUCCCAUAAGUUCUCGGCCGGAGCGAAAGUGUUA
rnacentral:rRNA from 1 species